ensembl:lncRNA
UGAAAGGGGGGUGGAAUAUGUUCAGGACACUCCAAACAUUAAAUAAAAUGUGUGAAGUAGUUGAGAUCUACGUCCCUGAAUGCUCCACAAUACUUUAAACAUAGGUGAUCAGACAGGCGAAAAUGCAUUAGCUUCAAUGGUAGGGCCAUGUGACAUGUAUCACUCUUUGCUGAAAAAACUAAAGAUUGUGUCUCAAUGAAAGGGGGGUGGAAUAUGUUCAGGACACUCCAAACAUUAAAUAAAAUGUGUGAAGUAGUUGAGAUUUACGUCCCUGAAUGCUCCACAAUACUUUAAACAUAGGCCUACACACAGGCGAAAAUGCAUUAUCUUCAAUGGCAGGGCCAUGUGACAUGUAUCACUCUUUGCUGAAAAAACUAAAGAUUGUGUCUCAAUGAAAGGGGG